UGGGGAAUAUUGCACAAUGGGCGCAAGCCUGAUGCAGCCAUGCCGCGUGUGUGAAGAAGGCCUCGGGUUGUAAAGCACUUUCAGCGAGGAGGAAGGUGGUGGACUUAAUACGUUCAUCAAUUGACGUUACUCGCAGAAGAAGCACCGGCUAACUCCGUGCCAGCAGCCGCGGUAAUACGGAGGGUGCAAGCGUUAAUCGGAAUUACUGGGCGUAAAGCGCACGCAGGCGGUUUGUUAAGUCAGAUGUGAAAUCCCCGGGCUCAACCUGGGAACUGCAUUUGAAAACUGGCAAGCUAGAGUCUCGUAGAGGGGGGUAGAAUUCCAGGUGUAGCGGUGAAAUGCGUAGAGAUCUGGAGGAAUACCGGUGGCGAAGGCGGCCCCCCUGGACGAAGACUGACGCUCAGGUGCGAAAAGGCGUGGGGGAGCAAAACAGGAUUAGAUACCCCUGGUAGUCCACGCUGUAAAACGAUGUCGAUUUUGGAGGUUGUGCCCCUUNAGGCGUGGCUUCCGGAGCUAACGCGUUAAAUCGACCGCCU
rnacentral:rRNA from 1 species